AAUAUUGCGCAAUGGACGGCAGUCUGACGCACCGACGUCGCGUGAGCGAUGAAGGCCUUCGGGUUGUAAAGCUCUGUCCUUGGGGAAGAAGGUCUUCGGACUUGACGGUCUCCAAGAAGAAAGCCCCGGCUAACUACUUGCCAGAAGCCGCGGUAAUACGUAGGGGGCGAGCGUUGGCCGACAUUACUGGGCGUAAAGGGUGCGUAGGCGGGCAUUUAAGUCAGAUGUGAAAGCCCGCAGCUUAACUGCGGAAUUGCAUUUGAAACUGGAGUGGUUGAGUGUCGGAGAGUGUAGUGGAACUCCCAGUGUAGCGGUGAAAUGCGUAGAUAUUGGGAGGAACACCAGUGGCGAAGGCGACUGCCUAGACGAUAACUGACGCUGAGGCACGAAAGCUAGGGGAGCAAAC
rnacentral:rRNA from 1 species